UCUGUUGCUUUGAAACCCCAAGCCAAAACUCACCCUGUCCCCAACUCCUCCAUACCCUGUCCUCAACUCCCUGGACGAUGCCUCGGCAACGACGCCCUGUCCCCAACUCCUCCAUACCUUAUCCUCAACUCCCUCGACGACGCCUCGGCAACGACGCCCCGCUGCUUGUCGCCCUCGCCACCGCUUGGGCCCCGCUGGCCCCGUCUCUAGAUGCUGCUCGGCCCCCCAUUGGACACCGCUCGCCCCCUCGAUGACGACACCCCGCCGCUUGCUGCCCUCGAAGCCGCUCGGCCCGCCACUCCCCCACCCCCCCCGGCUGGAUGCCGCUCUCCCCCUCAACGCCGCUCGACACCCGCUAGACCCCUUAACGCAGCUCGACACCACUCACCGCCCUCAAAAGACUACGCCUCCUCCACCGCUGCCUCAAUUGCAGCUAUCUUGCAUACACUCCUCAACUUGAUAUUCUAUUUACUCGCGGGUCAUCAGCUACUCUCUAUGCCUUUUCAAACGUAGGCUACGCUGGUGAUUGUGAGAUGGCGCUCUAUUGGAGGUUUGUGCAUUUUCCGUGGUCAAACUCUUACUUCUUGGAGCUCUCGCAAGCAACGAACUGUAGAACGUUCCAGUACAGAAGCUGCACACAGGUGUUUAGCUAACACUACCGCAGAGCUUAUGUGGACUGUAUAUUCUUGAGAGAUCUAAAUGCUCUUCCACCCCAUCCACCGACUCUUUGGUGCGAUAAUUUAUCAGCCAACGACUAAUCUCGAAUUUCAUGCUUGCACAAAGCACGCUGAGAUUGAUUAUCAUUUUCU